rnacentral:rRNA from 1 species
UACGGAGGGUGCGAGCGUUAAUCGGAAUUACUGGGCGUAAAGGGUGCGUAGGUUGUUGAAUAAGUUAUCUGUGAAAUUCCUGGGCUCAACCUGGGGUGGUCAGAUGAUACUGUUUGACUGGAGUAUGGGAGAGGGCAGUGGAAUUUCCGGUGUAGCGGUGAAAUGCGUAGAGAUCGGAAGGAACACCGGUGGCGAAGGCGGCUGCCUGGCCUAAUACUGACACUGAGGCACGAAAGCGUGGGGAGCAAACAGG